GAGCCAAUAGAACUCAUUCUCUCCCCGGGUGAACACACACCAGGGCUCUGCAUGCCUUCUUACAACAAACUGCGUGGUGGGCGCACCAGCCUUCCCCAUCUGACUCUGUGUGCUGCCCACCUGGUGGUUGUGCUGGAGGUUUUGAAGAGUGAGACUUUGGCCCCAGGUCUCCUGCCUGAGAGCUGCGUAAACCUAGAGCCUUGUCUCACAGAGCCCCUGUUCCCACAGCAUUAAAGUGGAGAUGACAGAGUCCCUCCUGGAGAGCCGGUCUAGCCAUUCAGUGAGUCAGCAGCACAGCUCCUCCAGCACGCAGAGAACAGCGGUCCAUGGAGGGAGGGCGUGAGCCUGGGGUUUUACUGAGGAAGGAUAGUGGGUUUUUCAGUCCCUGAAGCUGCUGCUCUGCCCACUCAGGAAGGUGAGGAAGGCAGACGACAGCGUACAUCCAGCCUCUGCUCUGCCAGGGUCGUUGAUGCCCUUUGGAAUGGAGAGCUGUGAAGGGGAAUGCCUAGGCCUCACAGAGGAGGCUCGUGACCCGGACAGGUGUGGGACUAGGGGCCAUGUCUGUAGCUCCCCUGCCACGGAGCAGAAUCUGCCUCUCCAUAAGCGUUAAGCUCUGGGGACUGUGACAUCCACGCUGGGCCUGGCUCCUGCCUUCCGCCUCCUGCCCAGCCCCUGCCAGCAGCACAUGGUGGAGACCGGUUGCCCAAAGCUCUUGUUCUCAGAUGUGGGCAGAACGGGAAUCUGCCAUGUGCCCGUGGAUUAAAAAAAAGAAACCCAGGCUGCUUUUCUGUCUGUUAGAAGGAGCCUGCACUUCAAGAUAGUGGGGAUGUAUAUUUUAAAAAAUUUCACGCUCAUGGGCCAAAGAUUUUCCCGGGGCUGUGUGCUGAUUUGCAGCCUAUCAUGUGUGGCUUUGGGACACUGGGGAAGGUGUGGAGCAGUUUAAGUGACAAACGGGUUGGAAAAGCAAAGGACACCAGGUGAGGAUGAUGGAAUUUACAUCCUGUUGCUUCCCUGAUAGUUCCUGCCAAUAUGGGAUCCCACUACUAUCUUUCUGCCCUAAAAAUAUGUGUAUAUUGAGAUAGAAACUGUUGUAAUGGCUGCAUGCAUUCAGUAGAGGAAAGGAGAGAAGAAAGAAGGAACAGAUUUAGUCCUGCCCAGAAUCUGCACUUCCACGGAGGACGCCAGGAUAUCACGGGAGAGACUGCAGCUCUGAUCAAAUGGGGCGAGCUCUUGGCAGGAGCCAGCAUGUUCCUGUGUUCCAUUUGGGAGGACAGUUUACUUUAAUGAUGUACUUUGAAAUCAGGUGGACGUCUGUAACUCCUGGACCUUUCGCAGCCUUUCCAGCCACGGUCAUCUCUGUGGAGUCAGGGGCAGGGACUUUGGGAUCAGCUUCUGCCCUUGUGAAAACAGCAGAGCAGCCUGAGAGCCAGGAAGGACCUCACCUGAGUAUCAGAUCACCUCAUCAGGCUGAAUUGUGUGGAUCUAGGGAUUUUAAAGAGGUGAUUAAGGUAAAAUGAGGUUAUUAGGGUGGCCCUUGACCCAGUGUGACUGGUAUCCUCAUAAGAGGAGAUUAGGACACAGCCACACAGAGGGACGACCACCUGAGGAUCCCUGAGAAGAUGGCAUCUGGAAGGUGAGGAGAGAGGCCUCAGAAGGAAUCAACUCUGCUGAUACUUGAUGCCAACUUCCAGCCUCUGAAACUGCGAGCAAGGUGGUUUGUUAUUCAGCAAUGGAUAAUUAGAGCACUGACUCACCUUGAUGGGCCUCAUCAUCAUUCAUCCAGAAAUCUUUUAUUGAGAAAAAUAAUAUUUGCCAUGUUGUGCAAGGAGUUGGGGUUGCAAAGCUGGGUGCUGUGAUCUAUAACACAAGGCAGCAGGAUUGUCUGACCUCCGAGAGCCAUGUGCCCUGGGAUCAUCUGGCCACAGUUAUCUCACAGAAUUCCUAAUGCACAGUCUGUGUGGGAGGUGAUGCCGGAGUCCCCCCUCCCUCUGGGCUCCUCCCCGUGCUCUGCUCACAUCACUGGGGGGUUGGCGGCAGCCUGCUGAGUCCUUUCGACCCUCAGCCCGCUCUCCAGCACUCAGACUGGCCGAAACCUGUGCCGCUGGCUCCACCCUCAGGUCUCCCCACUCCUCUCAUUAGCCACCGGCCUUCUCAGCCUUCUCUUAUUCUUGUGACUCUUGCCUGACCCUGCCUCAGCUCUGUGUCCUCCCAGACUGCUGACUGUGAGGCUUUGCCCAGCGGAUUUUCCAUCGCCAAAUUAGAGCUUUUCUUUCCUCGCCUGACUGCUCCCUGUCACUGUCUUCUGUAUCUUCCUGUUCCUGAUUUUGGCUGGCUAUCAAGAGAAGAAGAUCUACAAUCAUCCUAUCUCUCAUGGCACCUUACCAUGUGCAACUCCCUCGUAUCUAAUACCUCACUUCACCUUUUCUGUUCUUCUAUUUAUGAGCUACGUGAUGUCAGACAAGGCACUUAACUACUCUGGGCUUUGGCUCCCUUAUUUAACGAUAGGUAUCAUAAUAAUACCUGUCCUGUCCAAUUUACAGUUUGUCUGACAGUUAUUCAUUUAACAAACAUGCAUUGGGUUCCUACUGAGUGCUGGGUGAUGUAUCCAGCAUUGCUAAGACAACGGCCGUGAGAACAGCAAGCAUGCCUGGGUUUUGCAUUCUAGUGGGACGUCUUAAUCUAUUUUCUGCUAAAACAUAAUACCACAAACUAGGCAGUUGAUGAAGAAGAUACAUUUACUUCUUGCAGUUGAAGAGGCUGGGAAGUCCAAGGGCAUGGCACUGGCAUCUGGGUCAUCCCAUGGUGGAAGGUGGAAGGUGGAAGGGCAGGGACUAAGAAGAGCACCAGGUGCCAGACUCACUUUGUAACAACCCACUGUCAUAAUAACUAACCUGACCUCACAACCCAGUCACCUCCCAACAAAGUUGCAUUGGGAUUGAAUUUAUAACACAAGAACUUUUGGGGGGCAAAUUCAAGCCAGGCAUGGGGGUUAGUGUAAAUAAAUGAAUAGUGCAUACUAACUGAUUGAGGCCAUUGUUAACAAAAAUGAAAAAACAAGGGUGGGUUUGGGGAGUGGUGGCGGGGUGAACAGGCCUCUGGAGUGGCACAUACGGGGAAAACCUCUGUGCAGGCAGAGACCUGGGCUGCUGAGAAGGGGCCGGACUUGGAGAUCUGGGAAAAAGCAUCUCAGUUGAGGGAGAAAUGGAGCAAGCCUGGAGCCCUGAAGAGCCUGAGGACUUUGAGACCAGGGAGCAGGUACUGGUCAUGGGGCAUGGGAGACUGGCUCAGGCAGGACCAGGCAGGGUCUCUGUCCCUGGUAAAGAAUGUGGGUAUUAUUUUGAGUGACAGGAGUGGCAUACUCAGAUCUGCUUUGGGAUGAUCCUUCCUGCUGCUGUGUGAAUGCUGCAGCCAGAAAUGGUGCUGGGGGUGUUAUUAGGAUGCUGCCAUGACCCAUUCAGAGAUGAUCGUGGCUGGACCACAGUGGGGAGAAGAGGGGGAUCAUCAUAACCUGUUCCUGGAAGCCCUGCUGGGCGUGAGGGGAGUGGAGGAAUUAAGAAUGGCUCCCACCACUUGAUAAAUGGAGAAACCCAAAGCAGUCGUGUGGUUUUUGAGGUGUGGGGGAAGUGAAGGACUCCUCUUUGUAUAACGUGUGAGCUUCCUGACAUGUCUUCAUGGGAAUAGAAGGUUGGCCUUGGGAUGUUUGCAUCUGGAGCUCAGAAGAACAAUACUAACCUGGAGAAACAUGGGUGCCAUUUGCUUAGGGUGUUGUUAGAAUGCAUAGAGGAUGAGCAUAAUUUGGGGAGUGGUGACAAGCACCCAUGGAUGCCCCACACUACUUCUCAGAGCCCUCAUCCUGGGCUCCAUGUCCUAUGGAUGCCAUAACAGAUGUCCACAGACUUGAUGGCUUAAAAUAGUCAAAAUUUGUUCUUUACAGUAAUGGAGGCUGAAAGUCCAAAAUCAGUUUCAGGGGGCAAAAUCCAAAGAACCUGCUGAGCUGUGCUCUCCCGGAAGGCUCUAGGAAAGAGACCUUCCUGCCUCUUCUAGCUUCUGGGGGCUCCUGGUGUCCUUGGUGCCACAUGACCUAAUCUCUCCUCUGUGGCCACAUGGCCUUCCCUGGGUGUCGAGUCUCUCUCUGCCCUCUUUUCUAAGGAUACUCCUGAUGAGAUUUAGGGCCCACUCAGAUAAUCCACAAUAAUCUUUCCUUGUCUCUUCUGCAGAGACCUUUUUCACAGUUUCCAGGGGGUAGGGUGUGCUAAUUGGGGACCAUAGUCCAGCCCACUACGUACUAAAGGUUUGGAGAGGCAGUACUUCAACAUUGAAAGCUGGAACUUGGGGUAAGAGUGCAAUCUUGGAAUUGCAUUUCUAAACAAAUGGAGUUGGGCUAGGAAUAUUCCUAGCUGUCUGACCACAGGCCUGUUUCUUGGUUAUCAGACCUUAAUUUGUUUAUCCACAAAGUGGGGAUAAUGCCACGCUCAUUCUCAGGACUGUUGCUUGGGUUUGAUGAGAUCACAUGUGCAAAGUAUUUGGGACCGUGCCUGGCAUAUAUGAAGACCAGAUAGAGGUCAGUUCCCUUUCUUCUCCUUGGCUGGUACCUAAGGGAUUGGAGAGGUCCCCUUGUGUCACUCUCCAGAGCUGACCCAGCUUGUCUAGCGGUGUCUCAUGUCAACCAUAGCCUGGGAUCUUCUGCAGGGAGGCUUACAUAGAAAAACGGAACAUGUGAUGAUUGCAAGCCCACCCAGGGUAUCCAGGAGACCUCCGAGUGAGGAGGGAGGGCCAGGCAUGUGCUGAGAAGUUGUAGGAAGCCCUGCCUGCUGCUCUCUCUGCUAAUGAGCCGCAGAGCCUGCAGCACUGACAGGUUCAUCCCAGGGACUCUGGAGUUCUCUGCAGGGACUGAGCCGUGAAUCCGCCUGCGUGCUGAGCUUGUCUUUCCGCUCUCAUCUUUCCAUGGCAACCGGGGAAAGGGGGCCAGGAUGUGGCAAUCUCCACAGGAGAAGCGUGGGCGCGGCUGUCUGUAGGCAGCAGUGCUGGAAGGAGAGGAGGAACAGCAGCCCUGAUUCCAGGCCAGCGCUUGAUACAAGCCCAUCAUGGUCACAUGGGAGCUCCUGAAAUACCCUGCAUCCUGUCUCCCUCUGGUCUGCCUGAUGUUGCAGAAGAGGAAACAAACAGAGGGGCAAAGUGACUUGGUGAAUGGUGCACAGCUGGUUAAUAGGAGAUGGGAGGUGGCAUUGAAAUCUGGGGCUUCUGACUGGCGGGUGACUCGCCGUCAGGGAGCACUUUUAUGUGCUUUAAGGGGGUCCUCCUGCACCACUGGUUUGAAUUCAGGUCAGAUUUACUGAGGGGCCUUGUUGAAACUACAGGGCAGGCCCCAUCAUCGAUCUCACCCUGAGAAAAGAGUAAGGGCUCCAUACAAUGUUAGGAAACCCAGGACUUCUAAGGACUUCUGCCCCGCCUAAUUCAUUUAGGGGUCCAUCAGUAAAUGUUCCACUGAGAACUUAUUAGAAUGUGCAGAUGGUCUGUUCAAAGAGCAUUACAUGUACUCCUCAUGGAGCAAUCUUUGUUACAAGAAGGGAUUGGAAUGAGAGGGGAAAGAAUAAUCGAAAUGGGGAUUGGAGGGCCCCAGAGUGGUGACUCUGAGGUCCGGGCUCCAUCCUGCUGGCCGGUCCCCCCUCGCUAUGGUCACUCAAGGCUCAUAAAUCACCACUGGGAGCUCAGCGUCCCUCAUGGUGACUCUCCUGUGACUGAAUGGCCUUCAUGUGCUCAAAGGCUACUUUUGUUGACUCCCAAAUUGGGUUGUUGCACUUUCCACCUCCAUUCCUAGUUCUACUCAUCUGGGCUCCGCAGGAAAAUGCUUCUUCUCUGACCCGACAGCAACCAUGGAUACGUGGAGACACCUCACACUUCACCCUGUGAGCCAGUCUCACCCACCUCAUUCUCAGAAUGGGGCAGACCCGGUUCCGCUCUCCCCUUGGGGCUGGGUGCCGGGGACCUGUGGGAAGGUCUGGGUGCUUGGGCCUGUUCUGCUCACCUCUCAGGCACAAGAGAGCCCAGAAGUGUUACUGGUGGCUGGACCAAGAGCUCAGGUGAAUGUUACCCAUGCCGGAGGUGGCCUCCAGGGAUAAAAUGUAGGCCUUAUUGAGGAAAAAGACAACCCCAGAUGUGGGAUGUUAUGACAAGAGGAGAUUCCUGAUCUGCAGACACAGAGUAUGGAGUCUCCUCAUGGGGACCAACCUCGGGACAUCUUUGCCUCUCUCUCAGCCAACUCAGGAUUCAUCCUGCGAUGUUUUUGAGAAGGGACUAGUUAGUUGUGAGGCAGCAUCUUCACGGCUGGCCAUCUUUAUUUUUAGAAGGUUAUAUUUAAUAUGCAGCUGAAAUCUGCUUGAAAUCUGAGCAUUCCAGGGGAGCCUCUCCAGGCCCGGGAGCUGCCCCAGGACCAGAGGCAUCAGACCAGACCCAUCUGCGUGUCUGCAGGGUCCCAUCGAGGCUCAGCGUAUGGGAGCUGCAGUGUAUGGGAGCAGGGACAGAGGACAACGCGGCGCGUGUGCUGGGCGUCUCCUGCGAUGCAGCGAUACGCGGUUAAGUGAAGACAUUGUCAAGUGCCUGUGGCUGCCCCUGCCUCCUGGUGACAUCUGUUCCCUUGUGAGCAGCGGAGCUCUCGGGGCGCGUUCCCUUCCUGCACGGCGCCCUACUAGGCUGUGCUGUGGAUGGAUUGACUUUACUGGAGGUGGGUCUGCUGGUGAGUUGGUGGUCUUGGGGGACACUUGAGAACAUCUGAUUUGUCCAAGAUGGACCCCUCCUGCCCUUGGCUGAUGGAGUGGAGCCUCCACUUCUGGUUAGCUUUGGGAGGAGCCCGCGGGGGUUGCAGGACAGAAGGCUAUUCAGUGUGCAGUUUGACCCGUUCCUGUCUUUUCCCGCCCGAGCCUCACACUAGCCAUCCACUCUGUGUUUCAG
rnacentral:lncRNA from 1 species